rnacentral:tRNA from 1 species
GAAGAAAUUAGUUAACUUAAUAACAUUAAUAUGUCAUAUUAAAAUUAUUACUAAUAGUAAUAUUUCUU